rnacentral:rRNA from 1 species
UACGUAGGCAGCAAGCGUUGUUCGGAAUUACUGGGCGUAAAGAGUGCGUAGGCGGUGCUCUAAGUUUGGUGUGAAAUCUCCCGGCUCAACUGGGAGGGUGCGCCGAAAACUGGAGUGCUCGAGUGUGGGAGAGGUAAGCGGAAUUCCUGGUGUAGCGGUGAAAUGCGCAGAUAUCAGGAGGAACACCGGUGGCGAAGGCGGGUCUCUGGGCCGAUACUGACGCUGAGGAGCGAAAGCGUGGGGAGCGAACAGG